GGAGCAGAAACUGGCAGCAAACACUGGAAACUCGAGGGGUUUUCUUAAAAGUAUAUGGCAAUAUGCGAUGCUUCUGCAGUCACAAGGGCAAAAAGACUGUGUUAGGCUCCAAAACUAAUGCAGGUUUUGCUUAUAAGGGGGUUUCCUCAGGGGAUAAUGGUGACUCUCCUUAGGGUUUUUGUAUCAGGUCUGGGUAGCUUUAGUCUGACCAAAAAUCAACAGGUGAGUGUGAGAUGCAAGGAAGCGAACUGCGUGUGCAUUGGAGUAAGAGCUAGAUCCUCUAGAGAAAAUGGCAUCAGCCUUUAGAAUAUGUAACUCCAACCUUUGUGCCAGGGGGUGUCGGGCAGGAGCUGCUCACCUUUGUGGUCUCAUAACCUCUGCCUUUAAAGAGCAUUAUGGUAACUCCUGAGACAUGGAAUAAAACAUGGAAAGAGCAGUCAAGGCAUACUGGAGCUAUAAAAUGACACCUCUCAUCACUUCAGCCUGUGAAACACAGGAUUCUCAAUGCCAUUCUAUGGAAGUCAGUAGAAUUUUUCUCUUGGAGUAGUAGUGGUGUUGGAAGAACACCUCAGGGCGAGAGCAAAUGGUUCAUUACUUACGCAGCUUCCUUUUCAGAAGUCACCGAUGUACAUACAGAGUCUAUUAACGUGGUUUACCAAGCUUUUCAGUUGUCUGUUUUGCUCUCGCGGCCACAGGCUCUAAUGCUCAAUCUACAAAUGGUGGUAAAUCCGUGAGUUUGAGGGGAUGUGUUUAAGUCCUCCGUGCCGUACGUCAGGAUUGCGUAAUCUGUUGGCUGUCCCCUUUUUAUGUAAUGUAUGUUUGGAGUUGGGUUUAAAACACACAAAUGUUUUUUUUCCCACUGCGUGCUUCUCUCAGAUAGUUCGUGUUUGUCUCUCCGUUGCCCUCUGGAGUUAAAACCCUGCAAGACACCGGUUUGAUGGCUGGAGCCCGCUGGCUGGUGCGUAUUUCUCUCUUAACAACAGUCUCUGCCACACCUCAGGACGUGCUCUUCUCCAGGUGAGUUGUGUGGAGUGUUGGGCUGCUGCUGGAGUUUCUGCUUCCUCCUGGUGUGGAGGUGAGAGCACCCUGGACCAGUGAAUUCCAUCAACAUCCAAAAUGAACUUCUGAAAAACUUAAUAAUACAUUAACUUCUUCUGUAACACAUUAACUUCUAUUGUGUAAAACUGUUGGUUUUGAAACUCAUUUCAGAACUUGAGCUGUUUGAUUCUCUUAACCAAAGUGUGUGUGUGUGUAGAAAUAUUUCCAUGAUCUUUUUCGGCAGUGCCUGUUUUUAGGGAAGAAAAAGGGAAGGAGGUAAAAAUAUAGGUUGAUGUAAGGUUGUAAUGUGAUCAGUUUGUGGUGGAAUUGUUUAUUUCACAACCUUAUAUUUGUACCCUAUAACCUAAAAAUGCCACUGAGCCUUUAGGCCCCUCAUGUGCUUACUCCAGCUGCAGCCCCUGGUGAACACGGCUGGGUGCUGCUCCCCUCAGAGCCCUCGUGCUGGUGCUGUUAGUGAUCCCCCUCCUCAGCUGUUGCAGGCAGUAUAGCUCCAUUAACUCAUCUGGCUCUCUGCCAUUGCACCCAGUGACUGGUUGGUGACAUUCAAUACUCAAGCAGCAUAAAACAAAUGCUGCUGUCUUAACUCCAGUGGAUUUAAGGGGGAAGAGAGGAGUCCCCAUGUUCUCUGUGGUGAUACCUGUAGAGCAGUUAGUUACCCUAUUUCCAUUAAAUCCAGCAUUAGUGGAUGUAGCCAGCAGAAGCUGCUACUUAAAACCACUUUGAGCUGCAUUGCAGAAGCCACUGCAGUGAUUAAGAUAACAGAUUAGCCAGAUAAUUAAUGCUGGACUGAAACCCCUGAUGCAAAGCCACUUCUGUUAAAUGCUCUUGAGCUUUUCACCUGGCAGAUGGACACUGGCUGGGGUGAUGCUGUGUUUCUGAGACGUGUGAAGGAUGAGGAGGUGGAGGAUGUGCCUGCUGGGCUCGGCAGUGCUGUGGAGGGGCCGCAAUGACUGACAGGCUGCCCUGGCUCAGUUAUCACAGUGCUGAUGCUGUCUCUUGUAAAGGUACAGUACUGUGAUAACUGAAGGAUGGCAGCCAUCUGAGCUUCUCGGAGCCCCAUGGAUGCACGUACGGCGCAGCAGCGUCCUCCUGAAGCAGAGUGUGCUCAUUUUAAAUGUACCCCUUUGCAUAAAAGUAAAAGGUUAAUGUUGUCUUUGAAUAAAAUAUUGGACUUCAUUGAGAGUUUGCCUGGUAACUGACUGCUUUGCCUUGGAAGAAGCCUUCCAAAAGUGGUGUGCUUUGGAGAUCUUCAAAAAUGGUUCAGAAAGCAGGGCCCUGUGCAGCACAGUGGAGUAUUGAAGAGCGGAGGGGUGGGUCAGUGGGUGAAUCUUGGUACCAGAGCAAAUGGAAACAACUGUAGCACUACAGAAAAUAAAGCCUUUUUAAGAUACUCUUUAAUGCAUCUUGUUAAAAAUACCAUGAGCUUGGCUAGCUUGUUUCCAUGUGUCUCAAUACAUGGCAAUCCCAAGCACAGCUACAGGCUGGGUGGAGGGUGGAUGGAGCUGCCCUGAGGAGAAGGACUUGGGUGUGUUGGUCAAUGAGAAGCUCCCCAUGAGCCAGCUUCAGUGUGUGCUUGAGCCCAGAACUGCCCCGUGUGCUGGGCUGCACCCCCAGAGCGUGAGCAGCAGCUCAGGGAGGGGAUCCUGCCCCUCUGCUGUGCUCUAGGGAGACCUUAGAGCAGCUCCAGUGCCUGAAGUGGCCGCAGGAAACCUGGAGAGGGGCUUUGGACAAGGGCCUGUAGGGCCAGGCCAAGGGGAAUGGCUUUAAGCUGCCAGAGGGGAGACUGAGAUGAGCUCUUAGGCAGAAGCUCUCCCCUGUGAGGGUGCUGAGGCACUGGCACAGGGUGCCCAGAGAAGCUGUGGCUGCCCCAUCCCUGGCAGUGUUCAAGGCCAGGUUGGACACAGGGGCUUGGAGCAAGCUGCUCUAGUGGAAGGGGUCCCUGCCCGUGGCAGGGGUUGGAGCUGGAUGAGCUUUAAGGUCCCUUCCAACACAAACCAUUUUUAAGAAUUUCUAUGAAAUAGAUGGUCGGGAACGGGCUAUUUCAGUCCGGUGAGGACGGUGCAGGGGGAGAUAGCAAUGCAUCUGGUACUGUCCCUUGCAGGGUUUGCUUGGGCUUCUCUGCCCCAGUGAGGGACAGACUGCAGCCUUCCUGGGUCAUUUCCGUAACGAUGUUAUUUAAACGUCCAGAAAAGACGAGGUUUCUCGGGGGACUUGCUCUUGGUCGAGGCUGGUCUUAUUUUUGUGCCAUGUGAAUUAAAUGAUGUGGGAGUGGGGGCCGGGCUGCAGUGCUGGAGCUUGACAGCAGAGGGGCCCAGCGGGCCAGAUUGUGUUGGGGAGUGUGAAAUCCGAGGGGUUUUGUGUAAAAUGAGCAGACUUGUUACUGCAGUGCCUGUUCCCCAGAUCCCCCUCAUCCCAGGAAGCGGAUGGCCCUCAGGCUGCCGACGCUGAUGCAGCGGUCUCCAAAGGUCCCAAUUAAUUCUUGAUACCAACAUUAAGUGUGGUCAUUGACCUGGUGGUGUUUAGGAAUACUCUUCCUUCUGGAGUCGAUGAUUCAUGGCUGUCCAGGGCUUUGCCCUGUGCUUCCCUGCGCAGCCCUGGCUGCUCUGGGGAGAGAAUGGGGAUUAGCUCAAUCAGUGCUCUGCUCCAGCAUGGCAAUUAGAUGGGUUAUGUUAUUCCUCUGAUCUUCUUUACUGGAAGGGAUCUGCCAGACAGUGCUGUUGGCGAUGUCUGAGGGCCCAGACGGGGUCAGUGCUGUGCAGCUCUGAUGGAACGUUUGCCAGCGUGCGCCAUUUAACAGGGGAAAUUGUUACUGCUGUUGUGAUAGUGGCUUGAGCCUGCGUCUGGAGGAGGGUUCUGGUGCACUAGAUACUGCACGUGAUAGAAAAGACAUGCUGCUACCAAGCGUUUAAGUUCUAGGUGGAUUAAAAUCUGAGCAGAGUCAACCCUCAGCUUCUUCCCUGCCUCUUUCCAAAGCUUGCAGGGACUUCCCAGGGCAGGAGUAUGCUCAUCCCAAAAAUGAGAGAUGGCCAUCUCCCAUGGCUGCCGCCAUUCCUCACUGUACAACAGCAGCUCCUCUUCCAGGUGCUGUGCUAGGCUCCUGUUUUGGUUAUGGGAUGAAUGGGAGAGAAGAGGAGCUGUGGGAUCUUGGGAGUGGGAGCAUUUGUAAGCUUCCAGGCUGGCCAGGGCUCAAUUUCAUCUCUUUGUACCUAUUUCUGCUGUUGUUUUAGGAUCCAGCAGGUGCUCAGGAAACGUUCAUCCCCUUUUCUGGGAGAAAGGCAGGCAGCAAUGGAGUUCGGAGCUGGAAGUAACGUGGUGUUCAGCCAUGUCCUCCCUCCUUCCCAUAGGAAGUGAGGGCACUGCGCAGAGGCAGAUAGGUUUGUUAUGGACCAGGUCCUCACCUACCAAGCCUAGGGUCGGAUUUGAGGGUUAAUGACCAGCCUGGCUGGCUGAGAGGGACGUGCAGCAGAGCUGCUCACUGUGUGCUGGAGCACACAUUGGGUGCUGGUGAAAGAGCAAAGAGCCUGUUCAAAUGACAUGUGCCUCUGGCUUCAGGCUGUGCUUCUCAUUUCCUGUUACAAGUACAGCUCCCAGCUCUGGCAUGGGACAGGAACUGAAACACUGUCUGUGCCUGAAAACAACACCUCUCCAACAAGGUUUACUGGGAGCCUUGGUCUUCCUCUCAGGCUGAGCAGAUGGAGAGUCCACCUCUUCUUCCUGUGGCUUCCUACUGAUAUGAUAAUGGGACAGACUUCUUAUAAAUACGGGUGGGUUUGCUAUGUCUAAAUAUUGCUGCACGCGAGCAAUGCAACUAUCAAGUCUUCUUUGGCAGUGGAGCACUUCCUCCCACAAAGGAUGUUAAAGCGGAGAUGUAAACAACAUGCACGCAGUGAUACAUCCCAUCGCUGUCUGCUCAGAAGGAAGCUCUCUCUGAGGCCCGUCCGUUUUCUGAUAAAGCUUUCUGUAACGGAUGGGUUUGAUCCCAAGACAAGGCAGCUCGCUCGUGACACGUCCCUGCUGUCAUUCCAGAUGGAUUUGUUCUAACCCGGUGGUUCUCGGGCUGUUUCAUCAGGAAAGUCCCUUUUCCCAUCUGGAGGCUGUCUCCUUCCCACCCACGUUCUGCAUGAGGAGAGCAGGAGCGCUGCUCCUGUGACAUCUCCUUGGGGCUAUAGAUCUGCAGACAAGGGUGGCUGUUCUGUUCCUGGCUUUCAUCCACAAAUUCUCCUUUUAAGGGCCCCGAGCAAGCUGGCCAGCUGCUGUCAGGAUAAAAGACUUCCAUUGUGAGCCUGCGCUCAGCCUUGACACCAGGUGAGGAUGUUGCCUUUCCCCAGUGUUCUGGUUUUUAAAGGCUUUGACUUGUGUGACUGUUCAGCGUGAAGCAUCCAUACUAAAAAGCCUCAGUUUAGCAGCACUAAAAUAGGAAGGAUCCUUCCCAGCAGAGUUUCAAGCACACACGGGUGUUGUUUCAAAGUCCAGCGGUGCCCCAUGGGAAUCAGGCUGUUUUAAUGACUGUUCAUUCAGAUCCUCUCUGGCUAGUGCAGAGCACUUGACCUUGAACUUUAAUCCAGACCUUCUUGCUUAAACAUCUUUACAAAUCAAGUAGCCCAACUGCAGUGUCUCAAUAUGUGCACAUAUUAGAUGUACCAGAAUGUAACUCGGUUUUGGGUCAGGUUAGGCAAUUCCUGAAUGUGCUGGUUUGGGCUGGGGUGGAGUUAGUUGUCUUCAUAGUAGCUGAUAGGGGGCUGUAUUUUGGAUCUGUGGUGAAAACAGCAUUACUGAUGGAGAGAUGUUUUCAUUAUUGCUGAGCAGUGCUUACACUGAGUCGAGACAUGGAGUCUGCUCCCCACACCACCCACCAGCGAGUAGGCUGGGGCUACGCGAGGAGUGGGGAGGGGACACAGCCAGACAGCUAAUCCCAGUUGACCCAAGGGAUAUUCCAGACCACAGGACACCCUGCUCAGCAUAUAAAACUGGGUAAAGAAGGAGAAAGGCAUUUGUCCUCUCAAGUCACCAUGACUUGUGAAGGAGAUCUGCUUUCCUGAUGGCUGAACAACGAUCUGUCAAUGGGAAGUGGUGAGUGAAUUCCUUGUGCACAGCUUUUGCUUUUCCUGCUCUAGUGGAAGGUGUCCCUGCCCAUGGCAGGGGGUUGGAACUGGAUGAGCUUUAAGGUCCCUUCCAACCCAAACCAUUCUAUGGUUCUAUGAUUAUCUCAACCCAUGAGAUUUCUCACUUUUACCCUUCUGAUUCACUUCCCCAUCCCACCAGCGGAGACAGUGAGCAGCUGUGUGGUGCUCAGUUGCUGGCUGGGGUUAAACCACAGCCCUGAAGAUGACCCCGGAGAUGCUGGACAAAGCAGAAUGGACAAAAACAAGUUGAAGACUUUGGUGCAGCCUGUGUGAUCAGAAAUGCCACCAGCUCAGCCAUGCAACAUCAUUUACCAUCAGAUGUGGAGGUAUUUUCUUGGCAUGCCAGCUCCAAACACUGCUGUUAGAGCACCCUGCCUGCAAAAUAUCAUGAGCUUCAGAAGAAUUCAUUCAUUACAAAUAUGCUCAGCUCAGCUGUGGUAUUAGCUUCACUUUCUCAGAGUCAGGUUUCAUGGAAUGAAGUGGCAACAUCAGCUAUUUUCAUCAGGUACAUUGCAACCUGAGUGCUUUCAGUCCAUUUGAACCCCAUAGCUAGCAGUUCCCAAAUGCACUGUAACCGUUACUCUCUCGCUGUAGGCUGUGCCAUUCCGAUGCAACCCUUGCUCUGACAGAUCGCUGACAUCUUUCAUUUUUCUCUUCCCAUUCCCUCUCACAACAGCGCCAUGGUCCUGCUGAAUCCGUGAGGCACAUGGUUAAGCAGCACAACAGGGUGAAGGCAAAGGCAGGGGCACUAAGCUGCUGAUGGUGAUACUACUCAUCCUUAAUGGGCUUGGGAAGAAGUCCACAUUUCUUCGGGUCUGGAGUUUGCUUGCCCUCCUGGUUGUAUUUCUAUACCCUCUGUGCCAUUAUGAGCAAUGUGAUCUUAAUUCUCUAUCUCCGUGCAAUGGAGGGAGGAGGAAUAUAGUAAACCCCACAUUAAAAAAAAAAAAUGCUGUUUUUUAACACAGACCAGGGAAAUGGAGUUCCCAAAGAGAACAUGAGAAAAGCAGGAGUGACAGAAUGUGCUUUGGAAGCUGGCCAAGCAGGGCUGUAUAUCCUGGCUGCUAGUCACUUGUUAAAGAUCCCAGGCAUGCUGCAUGCUCCAUGUUACGUGUGUUCUCCUGAGACAGGGGCACCUAGAUGCAGGACACUGACCUGAGCAUUGCCCCCAGCCAUGUAAACAAGCUCUGGGAUCUGUGGAACGUGAGGGAUGUGAAUCAGUGUGCAUCAUUCCAGAGGGGUGAAUGCUUUGGUGACAAACGUGGUGUUUCCAACCCUAAAACUUGAACUAGAAUUAAAGCCAACAUUAGUUAUUGCUCUG